ensembl:lncRNA
GGGGUAGAGAGAGGUAGAGGUGAAGUAGAGGUAGAGGUGAAGUAGAGGUAGAGGUGAAGUAGAGGUAGAGACAGGACAGAGAGAGGUAGAGGUGGGCAGAGAGAGAGGUAGAGGUGAAGUAGAGGUAGAGGUAGAGGUGGGAUAGAGGUAGAGAGAGAGAGGUGGGGCAGAGAGAGGUAGAGGUGAAGUAGAGGUAGAGGUGGGGGAGAGAGGUAGAGGUGAAGUAGAGGUAGAGGUGGGGCAGAGAGAGGUAGAGGUAAAGUAGAGGUAGGGGUGGGGUAGAGAGAGGUAGAGGAGAAGUAGAGGUAGAGGUGAAGUAGAGGUAGAGGUGGGAUAGAGGUAGAGAGAAAGAGGUGGGG